AUUGAACGCUGGCGGCAGGCUUAACACAUGCAAGUCGAACGAGUGGCGGACGGGUGAGUAAUGCUUGGGAAUCUAGCUUAUGGAGGGGGAUAACUACGGGAAACUGUAGCUAAUACCGCGUACCAUAGGAUGAGCCCAAGUGGGAUUAGGUAGUUGGUGAGGUAAAGGCUCACCAAGCCGACGAUCCCUAGCUGGUCUGGAAGGAUGACCAGCGAAACUGGGAAUGAGACACGGCCCAGACUCCGUCGGGAGGCAGCAGUGGGGAAUAUUUCGCAAAGGGGGAAACCUGACUCAGCCAUGCCGCGUGAAUGAAGAAGGCCUUCGGGUUGUAAAGCUCUUUUAAUCGGGAGACGGUACCGGAAUAGAAAGCCACGGCUAACUACGUGCCAGCAGCCGCGGUAAUUC
rnacentral:rRNA from 1 species